rnacentral:rRNA from 1 species
UACGGAGGGUGCAAGCGUUGUCCGGAAUCACUGGGCGUAAAGGGCGCGUAGGCGGCUCAUGAAGGCUGUGGUGAAAGUCCGAGGCUCAACCUCGGAUCGGCCGUGGCGACUCGUGGGCUGGAGCACUGUAGAGGCGGGUGGAAUUCCGGGUGUAGCGGUGGAAUGCGUAGAGAUUCGGAAGAACACCAGUGGCGAAGGCGGCCCGCUGGGCAGUGGCUGACGCUGAGGCGCGACAGCGUGGGGAGCAAACAGG